GGGCCCGCACAAGCGGUGGAGUAUGUGGUUUAAUUCGAUGCAACGCGAAGAACCUUACCAGGGUUUGACAUCCUGCGAAUCUCUUGGAAACAGGAGAGUGCCUUCGGGAACGCAGUGACAGGUGGUGCAUGGCUGUCGUCAGCUCGUGUCGUGAGAUGUUGGGUUAAGUCCCGCAACGAGCGCAACCCACAUCCCUAGUUGCCAGCAUUUAGUUGGGCACUCUAGCGAGACCGCCGGUGAUAAACCGGAGGAAGGUGUGGAUGACGUCAAGUCAUCAUGCCCCUUACAUCCUGGGCUACACACGUACUACAAUGCUACGGACAAAGGGCAGCAAACUCGCGAGAGCUAGCAAAUCCCAUAAACCGUGGCUCAGUUCAGAUCGUAGGCUGCAACUCGCCUACGUGAAGGAGGAAUCGCUAG
rnacentral:rRNA from 1 species